rnacentral:rRNA from 1 species
UACGGGGGGGGCAAGCGUUGUUCGGAAUUACUGGGCGUAAAGGGCGCGUAGGCGGUUUGCUAAGUUGGAUGUGAAAACUCUGGGCUUAACCCAGAGCCUGCAUCCAAAACUGGCAAACUUGAGUACUGGAGGGGAAAGCGGAAUUCCUGGUGUAGCGGUGAAAUGCGUAGAUAUCAGGAGGAACACUGGUGGCGAAGGCGGCUUUCUGGACAGUAACUGACGCUGAGGCGCGAAAGCUAGGGGAGCAAACAGG